UGAAAAUAGCAUUAUUUUACGAGGAUUUCUCAUAUUUUUUUCACUUCCGGGCGCAGUAAUACGUAUGUUUUGAAGAAGCUCGAAGAAUUUGACAAAGUGAAUUGAGAAGGAAACGGAUAGAUAUACGUUCUUGCUAUCAGGGCACAAACCCACUUUAAAGAGACUUGUCUACUGCCAUACCCAUCCUAUUUUCAUGCACCAUUUGCAAGCAAGAGACUGAAUGGUUUGCAAAAUUAAAAAUCAGGACGGUGUCCAAUUAAAACAAAAGAACUAAACUGGAUGAAUAUUGUAGGAGAAAUCUAGACAUGCUAGAGGAAAGUUUUGAUUUGUGAAAUUGGUUUUCCUGAAAAGUCAUUCAUCCUAGCCUGCAGAAAGGAACUAUAACUGUCCACCACCAACUGACGAGCUAAUGUUGAGCUUCACAUAUGGAAUUACUCAAAUACCAUCAAUGUCUAUGUUUUCAGCACAAAUUUCACAAUUUAUGACACAGCUGUGCUUUUUUUUAUACCGUUAAAGAGUUGUAUACCAAAUUUUAUUUUUUUAUCAAUAAAUAUAUAUUAUAUUAA